AGGAAUAGUGUGGGAAGGAAGAUGAGAACCUCACACGUGGAUGACUGUUUCCUGGGAAUUGGGAGAGAUACCCUGCUCCAUCAGAAUCACUACAAUUUUAAAAUAUUAGAUUACUACCCCAAAUCACAGAGUUGAGGCUGGAGAAUCCAAAUUCAAGCAAGGUAUCAGCAGAGUCAGUGCCUGCUGAGAUCAUUCUUCCUGGUUUGCAGAUGAACAUUAUAUCCUCACACGGCAGAGAGAGCACAGAAAGUACCUGGAUUAUACUCUUCUGCCUUCUGAAAACUUCACUUCUGACAUAACUCCUCUCUUCCAUAGAAAACCCACCGGCACUGAAGAUAUGAACAAGACAUGUAAAGAGCCUGCCUUCAUAAAGCUUACAUUGCAGAGAACAGAGAUCUAAUAUAAUAUGAAGAUGUUUCCUAGAGAAAGACUCAGCACCUUUUAGUUAAGAGGUCAGGAAAAGGAAAUUUGGAAGAACUUUGAAAGGAAUUGGUAGAAAUUUGGAAGGAAGAGAAGAAUCUAGAAGGAAGAACCAAGGAAGGAAAAUGUCAAGCAAAA